UUCAAGUUAUUUGCCAACUGCCAAAAAACAACACAGAAGAAGAAGAAGAAGAUGUCCCUUGCCCCUCUUUUCCUCUGGGCCUUGAUCUGGUGUGAUCUUAUUUGUGUGGUGUGCUUUGAAAAGCUGUACAGUAGUUUUGUGUGGAUACCUUGUCAUUGGGUAACUGAAAAGGAAAGUUAGAUUUUUUUGUUCUUCUCACAGUGGAAGCUGGUAGGGGUUCUCUGCCAUUUUUGUUGGAACACUUUUUCUCCUGUUUUGUGGUCAGGCAGGGAGCUCAGCCUUUGUACUUUUAAGUUUACUCUUAGCUAGAGAUAUUUUGCUUUCAUACUUAGUGGGGGGUGUUAAUUAUUUUGGCCUUGGAGACCCUGAAGCUUAAAGCUUCACUGUGUUUAAAUAUUGUGUUUGUAAUUUUACCAUUUCAAUAUUGUAAAAUAAAUUGAAUCUUCACUCACUGACAUCAACUGCUUCAGGCGGAUUCCUUGUUUUAUGUUACACCCAGUGCCAUGACUGAACUUCCUUAAGAAGAUUGUAGAAUAAGUGGGGGCUCGUCCGAGAUAAAUUGAUUUUGAACAUGGCACAGUUUAAUAUGGAGGAGUUUGUUAGUAAUCCUUCCUUACAGCAGUUUGAUGUUUGUAGAAAGGAUGAUUUAUAUGAAAUUGAAUCCUGUUACGGUAUCUCAGUGUCUAAGUCUAUGCUCAAAAGUGAAUUAAAAUCUCUUGUCUUUAGUAGCUUAGUUGACAAAGGAGUAUUGCCACUGGAAGUGGAUAAUGAGGGGGCCACCUCAUCUUUUGGAGCUGCUGAUCAGUCUGCAGUUGAUGACAGAAUGGGGACACCUGCUGCUACUACAAAAUCAGAGGGAGGACUUCCUAAGGAUGAGAAAUCAAUAAAAUACUGAGGGACACAGGUGGUUCUCAAUCCUUCAUCCUUUCCAAUCUGCUGCCAUUCAAUGCGGAAACAUACUGCAAUGCAAGUACCAUAGUACAAGGAAUUGGGAUGGCCUACAUACCUGCACCGUUACAUCAUGUUCACAUAAAGUCCAAGUUGGCCUCUGGGUUCUUCAAAGUGGUGGUGAGAAACUUAUUUCCUGUCCAGGGGGUUGACUUUAUCAUGGGAAAUGAUCUUGCUGGGGAUAAGGUACUUCCUAAACCUGAAGUGGUGGACAAACCUCGUAUGAUGGAGGAGGAUGAAAUGUUGAAUUCCCACCAUGAUGUGUUUGCUGUCAGUGUUCUUACCAGGUCCCAAGCUCAACAGCCGGAGGAAGUGAACUUGACUGAAUCUGUUCUUGGAUCUGCUUUGAAGGAGGACAAGCUACUAGGAGCUGAACCUUCAAAACCAGCACAUAUCGAGGAAGAAUUGACUCCAAUGUCAGACAGUUUUCUCCUCCCAUCAUUGUCAUGUUUACCUUGCUGCCACAGGUGUGAUGUAUUGCAGCUCGUCAGCCACUCCAUAUACAGCUUCACCUCAGACCUGUCCCUUGCCCCUCUUUUCCUCUGGGCCUUGAUCUGGUGUGAUCUUGUUAGUGUGGUGUGCUUUGAAAAGCUGUACAGUAGUUUUGUGUGGAUACCUUGUCAUUGGGUAACUGAAAAGGAAACUUUGAUUUUUUUUUGUUCUUCUCACAGUGGAAGCUGGUAGGGGUUCUCUGCCAUUUUUGUUGGAACACUUUUUCUCCUGUUUUGUGGUCAGGCAGGGAGCUCAGCCUUUGUACUUUUAAGUUUAUUCUUAGCUAGAGAUAUUUUGCUUUCAUACUUAGUGGGGGGUUUUUUGUUAAUUAUUUUGGCCUUGGAGACCCUGAAGCUUAAAGCUUCAUGGUGUUUAAAUGUUGUAUGUUUGUAAUUUUACCAUUUCAAUGUUGUAAAAUAAAUUGAAUCUUCAUUCACUUACAUCAA